rnacentral:lncRNA from 1 species
CUUUUCCUUAGCCCUAUUUCCCACAACAGUUGUAUUCUUCCUCCAAGGCACCUCAGUAAGUUCCACAGCGCCGCACCUAAUCUCAAAUCGUUCGUUCGACGCCGGCAACGCUGCGUUAGUAGCUGCACUAGAAGGAUCCAACCUCUCCGUUCGUCAUACAUCUACACAAAGUAAGUUCUAAUCAUGCUGAGAUCUUUUUUUUUUUUUGGUCUUUUCCCGUUUCAGUUGUCAUAUGCUUGUUUAAUGAUGAACUCUUGAGAAUUUUUUUUUUUUUUUGUUCUUUUCCCAUUUCCUUAAAUUUUGAUUUUUUUUGUUUUCUAAGAAUUUGUCGACUUUUGGAUGGGUCUGCUUUUAAUGUUUUGAUUAGGGUUUUUUGUGAUAGUAUAGAAUUGCAAGUGUGAUUAUGCAAUAGCGUAGUUUCAGUUUUAUGAUUUACAUGUAUGGAAAAAUUAACGUGCUUAGAGUAUGUUGUUCUGCCAAUUUAGAUCAACUAUCGACCUCCCUCAUCCCAAGCGGUGAAACUAUUGGUAAUUAAUCAACUACUUAACUAUAUAGGUAUGUUUGCUAUAUUGAGCAGAAUUGGACACAGCCAUUACAACAUAAGAGAAAAGAAGUUAAAAUCAUGAUUUAGGUAUAAGAAUGCUCUUCACUUUAAUAUUUUAACAUGAAUUGGAUACUGCAUUGCUGGUAAGUACAAUUUGCACAUUCCAUCUACAUCUUUUUGUCAUAUGACUGUGUCUAAUUUAUUUGUGAAAUUAUACUUGGGGAAUUCAAGUGGCACAAUUGGACUAAGUAAUUCUACUCAAUGUUGAGGCAGCUAUUACAUGAUUUUUCAUUGUUUUUUAAAGGAGGUGAAGAAUCAUAUGACGAACGAACGAAGAAUCAUAUGAAGAACGAAGGAGGUGAAGAACUAUUUGCCACGUUUCAAUCACGCUGCCAAUAAUCUGAUCAACAGGAUGGGAAUAUUUCUUUCAAUGUGAAAAUACACAAAGGAAGAGCAAAUGCGGACGGAGAUAAGAAGGGAAAGGGGCAUGAAUGUGUUGUAAUAGUUAAAUAUAAUGACCUUGUUUUACUUAUGCAUUUGACGGAUAUAGUAGUUUCUUUGGAAUGUAGUAGUGAAGUACUUUCGUUUUGUAAUUGUAGUUUUUGUAUAAAGACUUUAUUUCCUAUGUGUAUAUGGUAGUAGUUG